rnacentral:rRNA from 1 species
GAUGAACGCUGGCGGCGUGCCUAAUACAUGCAAGUCGAGCGAACAGACGAGGAGCUUGCUCCUCUGACGUUAGCGGCGGACGGGUGAGUAACACGUGGAUAACCUACCUAUAAGACUGGGUUAACUUCGGGAAACCGGAGCUAAUACCGGAUAAUAUAUUGAACCGCAUGGUUCAAUAGUGAAAGACGGUUUUGCUGUCACUUAUAGAUGGAUCCGCGCCGCAUUAGCUAGUUGGUAAGGUAACGGCUUACCAAGGCAACGAUGCGUAGCCGACCUGAGAGGGUGAUCGGCCACACUGGAACUGAGACACGGUCCAGACUCCUACGGGAGGCAGCAGUAGGGAAUCUUUCGCAAAGGGCGAAAGCCUGACGGAGCAACGCCGCGUGAGUGAUGAAGGUCUUCGGAUCGUAAAACUCUGUUAUUAGGGAAGAACAAAUGUGUAAGUAACUAUGCACGUCUUGACGGUACCUAAUCAGAAAGCCUCGGCUAACUACGUG